rnacentral:rRNA from 1 species
GACGAACGCUGGCGGCGUGCUUAACACAUGCAAGUCGAACGGAAAGGCCCUGCUUUUGUGGGGUGCUCGAGUGGCGAACGGGUGAGUGACACGUGAGUAACCUGCCCUUGACUUUGGGAUAACUUCAGGAAACUGGGGCUAAUACCGGAUAGGAGCUCCUGCUGCAUGGUGGGGGUUGGAAAGUUUCGGCGGUUGUGGAUGGACUCGCGGCUUAUCAGCUUGAUGGUGGGGUAGUGGCUUACCAAGGCUGUGACGGGUAGCCGGCCUGGGAGGGUGACCGGGCACAUGGGGACUGAGAGACGGCCCAGAAUCGUAUGGGAGGCAGCAGUGGGGAAUAUUGCACAGUGGGGGGAAGCCUGAUGCAGCAAUGCCGCGUGCGGGAUGACGGCCUUCGGGUUGUAAACCGCUUUCGACUGUGACGAAGCGUGAGUGACGGUAAUGGGUAAAGAAGCACCGGCUAACUACGUG